rnacentral:rRNA from 1 species
UGCGCAGGCGGUUCGUUAAGUCAGCUGUGAAAGCCCCGGGCUCAACCUGGGAAUUGCGGUUGAAACUGGCGAACUAGAAUCUGGCAGAGGGGGGUGGAAUUCCACGUGUAGCAGUGAAAUGCGUAGAGAUGUGGAGGAACACCGAUGGCGAAGGCAGCCCCCUGGGCUGAGAUUGACGCUCAGGCACGAAAGCGUGGGGAGCAAACAGGAUUAGAUACCCUGGUAGUCCACGCCCUAAACGAUGUCAACUAGGUGUUGGGGGAGCAAUCUCUUGGUACCGCAGCUAACGCGUGAAGUUGACCGCCUGGGGAGUACGGUCGCAAGAUUAAA